rnacentral:lncRNA from 1 species
ACAGAGAAAUUGUUCAUGAAAGGAGGAGUCAAUCAAUGCAGCAAACUUCACCACUGUCUUAUUUUCAGAAAUUGCCAUGGCUACUCCCACCUUUAGCUACGACCACCCCGGUCAGUCAGCAGCCAUCAACAUUGAGGUCUUGAUUCUAGAGUUCAUCACUUCGAAUAAUUGUCUCCCUCACCAGAUUUGGAGCUCCUGUUGAGGAAAAACACUUUGAAUAAAUCAAUAUCUGGAACAAAAGCAAGAAGGACCUCACCAGAUGCUGCCCCUCAAUCUUGGAUUUCCUGGCCUCCAGAACUGUGAGCCAAUAAAUUUCUAUUCAUUCUGAAUUAACCAGUCUGUGGUAUUCUCUUAUAGCAGCACAAAAUGAACUGAGACAGGUGUGCUCACUCAGUGAAAAUGUUUUGAACUGCAUGCUUAUGCUUAUGAAUUGUUAACUUCUCUGCGUGCAUGUUACAUUUCAAUAAAAAAAGUUUACUCAGAAACAUAGA